rnacentral:rRNA from 1 species
UACAGAGGUCUCAAGCGUUGUUCGGAUUCAUUGGGCGUAAAGGGUGCGUAGGUGGCGCCGUAAGUCGGGUGUGAAAUUUCGAGGCUUAACCUCGAAACUGCAUUCGAUACUGCGGUGCUUGAGGACUGGAGAGGAGACUGGAAUUCAUGGUGUAGCAGUGAAAUGCGUAGAGAUCAUGAGGAAGACCAGUGGCGAAGGCGGGUCUCUGGACAGUUCCUGACACUGAGACACGAAGGCCAGGGGAGCAAACGGG